GCGGUGGCUCUGCGGGAGCGGAGCGCUCCUCUGCGCCGCUGACCUGCCCGGGGCCCUCCAUGGGAGCCGAGGGGAGAGGUAGCACCGCUCACACGCACCGAGGAUCGCAGCUUUGCACCGGAGGGCUCAGGGCCUCGGCUGCUGGUUCCUUAGUAGACGGGUCCUGCAAAUCCCGCUACUUUCCUCCGGCGUAUGUUGAGGCCAAAAGGGAAACUACUGCCACCCGAGCCUCCCUUCUGGAAAAGUCUUACAGGACUCAGGCGGAGGGAAACCAACACAGAAGUGACUCGGAAAGCAUGAUGGCAAAUGAUUAAUCAAAUCAGAGACAGGAAGGCGGAGGUAAUCAAUGAGUUUUCACUUAUAGUUUACUUGGAUGGACAUAUUUUUCCUUUUUCUUUCCGUAAGUUUAGAAACCACACGGGGUUUUAUUGGCCAAACAAGCAGCUGGAGGAUUUGGUGGGCUGGUGGGAAUUCGUUCAGGAUCAGCUGCAUGUUUCCUGAAGAAGAAUUUGGCUUUUGACAAAACCUCAUGCUUGUUCCCGCCCCAGGCAUACGGCGCCGGGCACCGGGCAGGGCUGCGCCCCGCGGGACCCCGCCUGUCCCCUGCGGGGACCCGCCCGCGCUCCCGGAAAGAGGCAGGCGAGGACCACGGAUCGGGAAAGCAUCGGCAGCGAAGGAGAGCCUUGCUCUCCCUCAAGCUGCACAGUGCGCAAAUACCCUGAGAAAUCUCAUCAGGUACGAUUUUAAAGUGAAACACCGGCUCUCCCUGCUCUGCCCUUGAGAGAAGGUUUGCGAGCUGUGUAAGGCCUUUUCCCGUUAUGAAACGACGGCAGGCGGAACGCCACCUCGCCCUGCCGUGCCGGAGGCGCCAAACUCCGUUUUCCCUGAGGGCACAUGCGGGUGCGGGCACACAGGUGGCUCCUGACACCGGCGGGAGCUCCUGGCUUCCCAGCUGGGCUCCGUAAACCCUACGGUUUUGCUGGCAGAUUAAUUGUUUGCCUACUUUCGUUUCAUUUCUUUCUCCCUCCAAAAGAACUUUCCCCCCGCUCUACACGAAUAACAGAUUCGGAGAGAUCACGAAAUAACGGGAUGGAAUUUCACCUUUCUCGUUCACAGUGACCAUUUUCGAUGGCACGAUGGCAUCAUUUUCGGGACCCUCGAGGGACAUGUCACUGACAACUGAUGGGCAAUCUGGCGUUUGGCUGGGGCAGGGGCGUCUGCAGAAAAACCGCAGAGCUUCGCUAAAUGGGGUCUGGGAGAGGACAGGGUUCGUGAUUUACGAUUUUGCGGGGUAGCCUCCACUUCUUCGGGCAAGCAGUGCUUGCCAAGGUGCGGGUUUGGAGGCACGUUGCCGGCCCGCCGGAGAGAAGAGUUACUGAGUUACUGAGUUAAGAGUUGCAGAUAUGUCGCCCGUUUCCCCGUUUUUUCCCAGCGAUAACUGUGACUCUUUUCAUUACUAUCGUUUUGUUCCUCAAAAACCCAAACAAAAGUACAAGGCGAAGCUGAACACAUCAUGAGGCGUAAUGUUCUAAGUUAUCAAAAGGGGGAAGAAGCAAAAAAGAGUCACUCAUUACUGAUCUCUCUUUUUCAGGUGUUGCUUUUAACAAGAUGUUCAGAAAAAAAUUGACCUGCAGUUCCUCUGCUCCUGACUUUGGAGGUGAUAUCGCUUGAUGCUUAUCAGCCACAACACCUGAGGCAUUUGGUACGAGGCUCCUGACUGCUCCCCACGCUCGGGUACGAGUGGUCCUUGCUGCACGAAGGCUGCCCCGCAUCCAGCUCCUCAUCCAGCCCCUCAUCCAGCCCCGCAUCGAACCCUGCAUCCAGCUCCUCAUACAACUCCACAUCCAAUUCCGCAUCCAACUCCGCAUCCAGUCCCGCAUCCAGCCCCGCAUCCAGUCCCGCAUCCAGCCCCGCAUCCAACCCCGCAUCCAGUCCCGCAUCCAUCCCUGCAUCCAACCCCGCAUGCAGCCCCGCAUCCAACCCCGCAUGCAACUCCAUAUCCAGCCCUGCAUCCAGUCCCGCAUCCAUCCCUGCAUCCAACCCCGCAUCCAGCUCCGCAUCCAGCCCAAGAGGAGCUGCUGGCAGCCCCGGCCGACAAUCAGAAGCAGCGCCGGUAACGGCUCGCAAAGCCC
ensembl:lncRNA